CCAGCUCAGUGCCCUGCUGCCAGUGAUGGACAGUAGUGGCCACCAGGGACAGAUUACAGAAUCAGUGCAACUGGGGGCUGAGACGACCUCUAAAUAUUUCCCCGUCUGUAGUGCAAUGUGCCUCAGGGAUUUUUGUUGCACAGGGAUUUUUGUUUCACCUUUCAAGUUUCUUCUGCUCCUGAUGCAAGGGCAGUAGCAUUUGAAAACAUUUGAAAAGGCUCUGGAUGUUUUCCCUUUCC